rnacentral:rRNA from 1 species
GAUGAACGCUGGCGGUAUGCUUUACACAUGCAAGUCAUACGGAAAUUAGCUUCGGCUAAUUUCAGUGGCGGACGGGUGAGUAACACGUGAGAAUUCGCCUUUAGGAGGGGGAUAACAGGGGGAAACACCUGCUAAAACCCCAUAUGCCUUCGGGUCAAAAGAGUAAUCUGCCUAAAGAGAAGCUCGCGGCUGAUUAGCUAGUUGGUAGGGUAAAGGCCUACCAAGGCGACGAUCAGUAGCUGGUCUGGGAGGAUGAUCAGCCACACUGGAACUGAGACACGGUCCAGACUCCUACGGGAGGCAGCAGUGAGGAAUUUUCUGCAAUGGGCGAAAGCCUGACAGAGCAAUACCGCGUGAGGGAAGAAGGCUUACUGAGUUGUAAACCUCUGUUACCUAAGGAGGAAGAUCUGACGUUACUUAGGAGACGAAGCAUCGGCUAACUCCGUGCCAGCCGCCGCGGUAA